rnacentral:misc_RNA from 1 species
UCCGGUUUGACACCGGCAGUCUCCCAUGAGUCCCCACCAUUACGUGCUGGCAACAUGGAACGAGGGUUGCGCUCGUUGCGGGACUUAACCCAACAUCUCACGACACGAGCUGACGACAGCCAUGCACCACCUGUGAACCAGCCACAAGGGAGGCCCUAUCUCUACGGCUUUUCCCCGCAUGUCAAACCCAGGUAAGGUUCUUCGCGUUGCCUCGAAUUAAGCAACAUGCUCCACCGCUUGUGCGGGCCCCCGUCAAUUCCUUUGAGUUUCAGCCUUGCGGCCGUACUCCCCAGGCGGGGCACUUACUGCGUUAGCGACGGCACCGGGAGGGUCGCUCCCCCCGACGCCUAGUGCCCAUCGUUUACGGCGUGGACUAC